UCGUGACAGAAAUGGUGGAGGCGCCGGGUAGGUUCUAUUUCUGGAGAGAGAGAGAGGUAGAUUUUUAUGUUUAUUAUUAAGUUAGUUUCAGCUUCUGAUAGCAGGUUAUUAAGAGUUUACUUGAGGAGAGGAUUACGGAAUUUUAGUCUAUAGUGGAGGAAGUCUUUGAGAUUUUUUUUUUGACGUAACAGAUGUUUAUUUGAGUAUACUUGUAAGGAUAAAGUUUAUAGUGAUAAGUUGUUUUAAGUCGUUGAGUUUAUCAGGGAUUUUUACGUGAGGAGAAUACGUUAUAAUUUAAAUGAUUAAUAGAGAUAAUGCAAGUGGUUUAAUUUAAUUGAAAUUAAUUUUAAGAUUGUAGGUUAAGAGAGUUAAAAUUUAAAAUAAAGUUUUUUUCGUAAAUAGGAAUUAUUUUCAAGAGAAGUUUGUUUUGUUUUCGUGCGCGUAGGAGACGAGACGUACGAAUUAAAUCAGUCGAGGGAAGGAUAAACGUUAGAAAGGAAUUAAAGAGAAAACGAGAGUUUAUGUAAAAGAGAGUUAUAGAAUUUAUAGUGAUGUUUUGUUUUAAUUAGAAAAAUGUUGAGAGUUGUUUCAGAACGACACGUCAGUGGACGUGGCAGAGUGAACACGUGACGGGGAGGUGCUGAGACCUAGCGGAGAACGGAGGAACCGCAAGCGAGGGUUGGCGCACCUGAUGGAAUUCGGUGACGUCACGGGCUCAUACGGAGACGUGGACAGGCCGUGACCUUGUUUUGAUCAGCUGUACGGUAACUUAACGAUAAGAAAAUAGACUAUUGGUUAAAUAAAUUUAAAUUUAAGUGUGUUUUAGGAGAAGAGGAACUUUCAGUAUAUUCCUUAAGAUGAGCUGAGCAGCAGUCCAGUUUACAAGAUGACAAGAGUUCGAGAGACAAGAUACAAGAUCACUGAAACAAGAGCCAAGACUGAAGAUUCAAGAGAAGAGAAAGCUGGCAGCCAUGGACUUACAAGUGGAGAUUAAUAAGGUCAUGUAAAGUUUUAUUUUUUUUUAUGGAAGACAGUAACUGGAGUUUUUUUUUGUUAUAAACAUUAUUUACAGAACUUUUUAGGUUAUAGUAAUGUAAUGGAACUAGUGAGUUGUGGUAGCUGUCAAAAAGAACUAAUACCUUAAGUUUAAUUUUUAAAGUUAAUUUUCUUAAUUUACAGAGGGAUUAGUAGUUUUUUUUAAAACCUUAUUUAGGUUGGAAUUUAAAUACAAUAGCUUAUUAUAAAUGUGUACGAACAGUUCAAGUUCACAGUACUGAUAGGUAGGUCAGAUGAUCUUAUUGAUUUUGAUGAUUUGUUGUUUUGAGUUGAUUUUUAAGUGUUGUGAAUUAGACAAUGAAAUAGUUCUGAAAACUUAAAUUAUUUCAAGCUAAGAAAUAGUAAAGUUAAUUGUAACUCAAAGGACACCAGAAUUUAAUUUUUUUUUGAAUUAGUAAUGUUUGAAAAUUUUAUACUUUACAAGAAAGGUUAUAAACAAACAGAUCGGAUGGAACAAGGAUGCAGUAAAUCACAAUUUCAUUUAGAAUUAUUGAUUAGCUUUUGAGGUUAUGAAGUAAAAGUAAUUAUAGUUUAAAAGUUUGAAUAAAAAAAAAUGUUUUUUUUUAUUUGUUUCAAAUAGAAAGUUUAAAAGUUAAUUAGUCAUGAUCUAGGUGGGUGAUGGGGUGGGAAUUGGCCACUCUUUUUCCCUAUAACCUCCCUAACAUGGCCUUCUAUUACAACUAACAGAAAUAAAGAAGAAGAAAAAUGAAGAAUUAUUAGUUAGAAUGUUUCUUUCAUGAAGAUACCUGAUGAACUUUUACUGUUUGGAAGAAUAGAAGCAAGGUUAGUCAGAUAUUUUUACUCAGAAGAAGAAGAAGAUAAAGCAGUUUUAUGACUCGACAAGCCAGAGAUUGGUGUUUCCCCUCUGCGCUCCUAUUGACUACGUUGUUUACUCUCAUGGGAUAGCUGGUUCGGCACCAUGGAGAGAGAUUGGUGGGCAUUGUGGUUGCCCCCAGAAGAAAAGAAGAGUAGAAGAGGUUAUGGGUGGGUCAUGUGAACUGACCUUCAACCCAGUUACUUCGUGGGGACUAUUUGCUGUAUAGAGAAGAUCAAGACUCAAGAGGUAGGGAAAAUCAUUGGAGGUCAUGUUUCCCUUCCUUAAGUUUUUCCUAUCAAAUUAUUUGCCUGAUUAGAUUAUGCUAAGGGUGGGAUAAUUUAUGUUAGCAGUUGAAUUAAUUAAUUUUAUUUUUUUGUGUGUUUGCAUCCUUGCCCAUCGAUUGCAGUUUAGUAGUUAGUUUUGUAUUUGUCAGGCGUGAUGGUAAUGCCUGUUGAUGAUGUUUCAGAAUUGUAAUCUGUUCGUGAUGAGGAUGGCACAACUCCGAAGCAGAUGUGGGGAGAAGUUGUGAGCUGCCCUGGAAGCCAGUCCAGUAGCUGUUGGAGUUGAGUGGUGUUUGCUGAUGGCCAGCCCAGGGAGCUACUCUUCUCGACAACACUGACUUCGAGGAGUUGCACCAACCUUCACGAGAUAAGAGUUUAAUUAAUUGAAACACUGUAAGGACACUUAAUUUUUUUUGAAGAACGAAAGAAGUAUGGUAAUAAACGGAAACCGAAAAAAAAA